rnacentral:rRNA from 1 species
GUGAGUCAUCGAAUCUUUGAACGCACCUUGCGCUCCUUGGUAUUCCGAGGAGCAUGCCUGUUUGAGUGUCAUGAAACCCUCAAACUCAAGUUUAGUUCUAACUGAACCGAACUUGAGUUUGGAUUUGGACGUUUGCCGGUGAUGAACCGACUCGUCUUAAAAGUAUUAGCUGGAUCUGUCUAUAUGACUGGUUUGACUUGGCAUAAUAAGUAUUUUGCUGAGGACAUCUUCGGAUGGCCAGGACCUAGACUAUUGUCUGCUAACUAAACCUUCACUUUGAGUGCAUCUUCUGGAUGUUACUCAUUGUGUUACUUUGACAUCUGGCCUCAAAUCAGGUAGGACUACCCGCUGAACUUAA